ACCCGAAAGGUCGAAUGGGGAAAUUCAUUCGCGUUUCGAUAGUCGGCGUCGAGCUGUUGUGUGACUGACGAGGUACGCUUCGUUAGCGCCUUCAGUUCGUUCGAACUGACUUCGAACGCGUGCACUUUUCCCCUAGUAGGACGUCGCGAUCCGUUGGGUGUCGGUCUAAGGCUUGCGGUGGAGCUCGCGAAGACGUUUCGGCGUUCUUUGCGAACCUGCAAUGUCCCGAUCGACUCGCUCGACGGUAUAAAGAUGGCGCGGGGCCGCUACACUUUUAGAGUUAGCGUUCGACCUACGGCAAGCACGUACGGUGUUACAACGGCGAUCAGACCUGGUCGGAUCCCGUUCCCGGACGACUGUUGGCACGUAGUGUUCUCGAACAGACCUCGUUGAAACGCCGAUCUGCGACGCUAUAGCUUUGGGUACUUUCAGGACCCGUCUUGAAACACGGAC
rnacentral:rRNA from 1 species